rnacentral:tRNA from 1 species
GGGCUGUUGGUGUAGUGGUAACAUAUCUGCCUUCCAUAAGCAGGUGCCAGGGGUUCAAUUCCCCUACAGCUCA